GAAUGAGAAGCACUGUCAGGAUUCCUGAAGCGGCCAGGACCUUAACGAGCUCGACACAGCCCAACGCGGUAACGGAUAUGGCACUAUGAGGUUCUUCGAAGCUUGGUUGACUGAAUGAAUGAAACACGUCCGCAGCUGUCUGACAGGAGAGAAAGAUACGUACACUACCGAGCAGGCAUAGCAGCCCUGUUUACUGCUUUCCCGGACCAGGAAGGUGCCAUCUCGCUUCCCCCGGAGUAGGUUUUCAGCCUUGUUUCUGUUGCUGCUGCCGACAUUCCAUGUCUUCUCGUCGUGGUGCGGCAAAUCCUCAUCAUCCUCCACCAGCGAGUAUUGGCUAAGGAGGCAGGAGAGAAAGGUUUGACAUGAAGCCCUGGGAGAGGUCACCUCUCCCACCGAGCCCGUCAGGCCAGCCACCGCGGCUCUGACUCAGGAGGCACUUGGCCGUGGAGCUCAGCCUUCCAUGUGACCUCCCUGGACAAAGAGCCCCAGUAGUAAGACUCUUCCUCUUUGUAAGUCAGGAGCUACAUGUAGGCAGCUGGGCAGAGGGGAAGGUAUCAAACGAUCCUGUUUGUCCAGUUCAGAUCAGGAAACCGACUGACUAGGAGGACUGCCAGUUUCUCCUGUAAUUCAAACAAAACCUAGCCUUAAGCUUUAAAGAUACACUGAACAGAAUUGUGUCCUUUUUUUCCUCCCGACUGUUCCAGAAACCCACUGGGGAUUUUUACAGGUUUGGGGCCUUCCUUCUAGACAGAGUCACUCAAUUGGACUGUGGGUAAAAACUAACUCUGCAUCCUUCACUAAACUUUCCUUUUUUGUAACAUUCUGGAUAAUGCAAUGUGGUAUACAGAAGAUGUUCCAAACUCCGUGAAAUUCCUCACUUGGUCUGCAAACAAAGCAAGUCACGAGUUCUCUUACCAUGAAGACCCCCCCCCCCCAACCCCCGCCAGCCUCCCACCUACGGGCAUCAAAAAGUUAAAUCUUCAUUUUGGAGGUCAGACAAGUUUGUGGAACUUUGAGUUGUUACGUCAAAUCCACUUGAAACUCCCAGCGACCUCUGCAAUUAUCAUCACGAGAACUUCUCAUUCUGACACUUACGAGCUUCAUUUAAAAGGUUUAUUAGAGAUGCUAUGAAUAUUAAACAAUGAUCUGCAAAUACGUGAUCUUUCCCCCCACUUGAUGAGCAAAACCUCAACUUUACUUUCUUUUUCCUAAACCGAACUGACACAUGUUCGAUUCUACUAAGAGUUCUGAGAUUUUAAUUUGAUUUUAGCAAAAAACUCACCUGGGAAGUACGGGUAUAAUCUUCAUAUAAUCUAUCAUAUUCCCGACUUUUUUCUUGAAAUUGAGUGUUAUAUUCAUGUAAUUUUUUCCCUACAGCUUCAAUAUUAUCUUCUUUGACAACUUGAUCCUGGAAGAAUGAGAGAUGGGAAGAGAGAAAACUUCAGUUCAUCAGCUAUGCAGUCCAGUAACUGGCCAUACUCAAACUGUAAUUUUGUGACCACAGGUAUAAAGUUUUUAAAAUUUUAUUACAUGCAAGUCACCUGCUUCACAAUGUUUUCUAAGUAUUUGAAAGUGUCUUGUCUAAACAUUGUAAUUUGAGCAUUUCAGUUUUGAAUACCUGUUGGUAUUUGGAUACUGGAUAAAGUAAUUUCACGUCCAGUUUGGGAUUAUACUGAGCUAGGGACUCAUUCCGGUAGUGGUUUAUUAGUUCAACCACAGAGUUGAAGGUUAGUGGGUCAGAGAAGCCAUAUUUCCCAUCUCGGUGAAAUAUUUUGAUUAACUUGUUAUUUCCUCCUUUCCUGUAAACACAAUAAAAUAAAGGGCAUGAUUACAAUCUUCUUUAGAAA